GCUAGCUGUCGCCCCUAUUUCCAAGUUCUGUGCAGCGUCGCGAGACCUACUCUGUCCCGAACUUCCGGUUCUGAUGGGCCUAGCUCUUUGGGCCGGCCAUGCGGGGCGGGCUUCUCUGGGGCGCUGCCCGUGUUCUGUGGGCUGGCCGAGCUGUUGGCGCAGCCCGCCGGCCCCUAAGCUGCAGUAGCCCGCCGCUGGAGGAGCUGUUCGCCCGCGGCGGGCCUUUACGGACCUUCCUCGAGCGCCAGGCAGGGUCAGAAGCCCAGUUACUWGUCAAGGGGCCAGAGUUGGUAGCGGUCACCAAACUCCUGAGCGAGAAGGAGCGGGAGCUGCGGGAGACCGAGCACUUGCUGCACGAUGAAAAUGAAGAUUUAAGGAAACUUGCAGAGAAUGAAAUAAUUUUGUGUCAAAAAGAAAUAACUCAGUUGAAACAUCAGAAGAAACUGAUGAAAGUGAUUUGAUCCUGGAGGUAACUGCAGGAGUUGGGGGUCAGGAGGCCAUGUUGUUUACUUCUGAGAUGUUUGAUAUGUAUCAGCAAUACGCUGCAUUUAAAAGAUGGAAUUUUGAAACCCUGGAAUACUUUCCAAGUGAAAUAGGUGGCCUUAGACAUGCAUCUGCCAGCAUUGGCGGUUCAGAAGCCUAUAAACACAUGAAAUUUGAAGGGGGAGUGCAUAGAGUACAGCGAGUACCAAAGACAGAGAAGCAAGGACGCAUCCAUACUAGCACCAUGACAGUGGCAAUAUUACCCCAGCCCACUGAGAUUAAUCUGGUGAUUAAUCCUAAAGAUUUGAGAAUCGAUACUAAGCGAGCUAGUGGAGCUGGGGGUCAGCACGUAAAUACCACGGACAGUGCUGUCAGGAUUGUUCAUCUUCCAACAGGUGUUGUUUCUGAAUGCCAACAAGAGAG